GAUGAACGCUGGCGGCGUGCCUAAUACAUGCAAGUCGAGCGAACAGACGAGGAGCUUGCUCCUCUGACGUUAGCGGCGGACGGGUGAGUAACACGUGGAUAACCUACCUAUAAGACUGGGAUAACUUCGGGAAACCGGAGCUAAUACCGGAUAAUAUAUUGAACCGCAUGGUUCAAUAGUGAAAGACGGUUUUGCUGUCACUUAUAGAUGGAUCCGCGCCGCAUUAGCUAGUUGGUAAGGUAACGGCUUACCAAGGCAACGAUGCGUAGCCGACCUGGGAGGGUGAUCGCCCACACUGGAACUGUGAAACGGUCCAGACUCCUACGGGAGGCAGCAGUAGGGAAUCUUCCGCAAUGGGCGAAAGCUUGACGGAGCAACGCCGCGUGAGUGAUGAAGGGCUUCGGAUCGUAAAACUCUGUUAUUAGGGAAGAACAAAUGUGUAAGUAACUAUGCACGUCUUGACGGUACCUAAUCAGAAAGCCACGGCUAACUACGUG
rnacentral:rRNA from 1 species